GAUGAACGCUAGCUACAGGCUUAACACAUGCAAGUCGAGGGGCAGCAUGGUCUUAGCUUGCUAAGGCCGAUGGCGACCGGCGCACGGGUGAGUAACACGUAUCCAACCUGCCGUCUACUCUUGGACAGCCUUCUGAAAGGAAGAUUAAUACAAGAUGGCAUCAUGAGUCCGCAUGUUCACAUGAUUAAAGGUAUUCCGGUAGACGAUGGGGAUGCGUUCCAUUAGAUAGUAGGCGGGGUAACGGCCCACCUAGUCUUCGAUGGAUAGGGGUUCUGAGAGGAAGGUCCCCCACAUUGGAACUGGGACACGGUCCAAACUCCUACGGGAGGCAGCAGUGAGGAAUAUUGGUCAAUGGGCGAGAGCCUGAACCAGCCAAGUAGCGUGAAGGAUGACUGCCCUAUGGGUUGUAAACUUCUUUUAUAAAGGAAUAAAGUCGGGUAGGGAUACCCGUUUGCAUGUACUUUAUGAAUAAGGAUCGGCUAACUCCGUG
rnacentral:rRNA from 1 species